rnacentral:rRNA from 1 species
UACGGAGGAUCCAAGCGUUAUCCGGAAUCAUUGGGUUUAAAGGGUCCGUAGGCGGUCUAAUAAGUCAGUGGUGAAAGCCCAUCGCUCAACGGUGGAACGGCCAUUGAUACUGUUAAACUUGAAUUAUUAGGAAGUAACUAGAAUAUGUAGUGUAGCGGUGAAAUGCUUAGAGAUUACAUGGAAUACCAAUUGCGAAGGCAGGUUACUACUAAUGGAUUGACGCUGAUGGACGAAAGCGUGGGUAGCGAACAGG